CCUACGGGAGGCAGCAGUGAGGAAUAUUGGUCAAUGGGCGCAAGCCUGAACCAGCCAAGUCGCGUGCAGGAAGACGGCCCUAUGGGUUGUAAACUUCUUUUGUACGGGAACAAAGGGCCCUACGUGUAGCGUUUUGCAUGUACCCUACGAAUAAGGACCGGCUAACUCCGUGCCAGCAGCCGCGGUAAGACGGAGGGUUCGAGCGUUAUCCGGAUUUAUUGGGUUUAAAGGGAGGUAGGGCCGAAGGUCAAGCGUGCGUGAAAAUUGCGGGGCUCAACCCGGGCCAGGCGGUGAAACUGGCGUGCUUGAGUGAGCGAGAAGCAUGCGGAAUGCGUGGUGUAGCGGUGAAAUGCUUAGAUAUGACGAAGAACUCCGAUUGCGAAGGCAGCUUGCUGGCGCGCAACUGACGCUGAUGCUCGAAAGCGUGGGUAUCGAACAGGAUUAGAUACCCGGGUAGUC
rnacentral:rRNA from 1 species